GCGGGACACAAAAGGGAAUGGACGCGCGGGGGCGGCGGGCGGGGAGCCGCGGCCCCACCGAAGGGACCCCCGGCCGCCGAGCGGCCUCUACGUCAGCGCCCCGGGUGGCGCCGCCUCCGCCCGCCGGCCUGGGCCGCCGCUCCCGCCGAGGGAAGGCGGGCCGGGGACCGCGGGGAGAAGACUCCAGCAGUGCCUGGGACGCGCUCAGCAUCAGCUCUAGGCGGUGACCACUCCACCCUCUGCGCUUGGCAGGGACACUUCGGCACUGCCGCUCCACAGACAGUGUUUGAAACUCUACAAUAGACACACUACGUUUGAAACACACGAGAUCCGUAAGAGCUCUUUCACAAGAGAAAACAAAAAACGGUGAACCAGAAUGCUCGACCAGCGGCGGGGUGAGCGACGCGGACCGCCGCGGGGCGUGGACGGUGCGCACGCACUGCCAGCGCAGGUGGAGAGGAGGCCGGAAGGGCUCACUGCUCCGCCCCGAGCUGUCCCGAGCACAAGCCGGAAGCACUCACGGCCCCGCCCCGCGCGCAAGCCGGAAGCGGACCACGGCCCCGCCCCGUUCUAAGCACAGGCCGGAAACGGCCCCGCCUCUCGCACAAGCCGGAAGCGUCUACGACCCUUUCCCGAACCGCGCAGAAUCCGGAAGCCCUCACUGCACCGCUCUGCGCCGUCCAGCGCACAGGCCGGAAGCAACUCGCGGCCCCGCCCCGCAUAGAAGCCGGAAGCGCACACGUCCUCUUCCCGCCCCGCGCAGAGGCGGAAGCGCUCACGGCCCCGCCCCCACCCGCCUGAAGCUGGGGCCGGAAACAGUGGCGGCUGCGUCCCUCCCCUUGUAUAGACCGGAAGCGCCCAGCUCCUCAGACUGGGGAGGUGGAUUUCCGUCCCGUUUCUCUAAGCCCCGCGGCGGGGCUUGUCCCCAUUGCUGCCGGCUGUGCGACCCUAGGGACGCCACAGCUGCGGGCGGUCAGAGUCGUGUGGCAGGGUCGGCCCUGGAGGGUGGUGGGCCCAAGGGCGCGAGAUGCACACGGAGAAAACCACAAUGAAGGGUGGGUCUGGUCAGUAGGGGCAGUAAUACACGUGCUUCUUCUAUCGGGAUCUGGUGCGUUUCUUCCUUGGGCUUCUUUCUCCACGUUCAGUCCCGCUUCCCAGCAUGGGGACGAGGAUGACAGCGCGAGUCCCUUGGGGCUGGAGACCGUAACCCCCUCGCAGAACAGUUUUCAAUUGCACUCACUCUAGCGAGCUCUCAGGCAGCUGUUGAGCUUUUUAAUUAUGUAAGUCCACUCCCCCACUGCCCCUCGCCCCCGACACACGCGUGGACUCAAAGUCAGGAUCCCCAGACCUCGUCCUCGCACCGAGAAGGCCUGGUGCCUGCGGUAGCGUUCCCAACUUGAAUUAAGUCUCAGUAACAUCUGUUGCUACAAGAAAUUUAAAAGCGACACCGUACUUUAUACUAAAAGAAUAAAGAUUUUUAUUAAGCA